AUAUACGCAAUGAUAAAGAAGAGUAAUUUUAUUUAUCUUUUCAGAGAGAUGAUGGUUGGUGUAAAUCAUUAAGAUAGUAAGAUGAAAGGAGCUUUUGAGUGUAAUUUAUGAAAGUUGGGCUUUAGCCAAGAAGGGUGGAACCGCGGAAAGUUAUUUUCGUCCCUUUG
rnacentral:ncRNA from 1 species